rnacentral:rRNA from 1 species
ACGCUCGACACCUACGGGAGGGCAGCAGUGGGGAAUAUUGCACAAUGGGGGAAACCCUGAUGCAGCGACGCCGCGUGGAGGAAGAAGGUCUUCGGAUUGUAAACUCCUGUUGUUGGGGAAAAAGAGGAUGGUACCCAACAAGGAAGUGACGGCUAACUACGUGCCAGGAGCCGCGGUAAUCUGAGCGGGCUGGCAAGGC